UACGUAGGGUGCGAGCGUUAAUCGGAAUUACUGGGCGUAAAGCGUGCGCAGGCGGUUUUGUAAGUCAGAUGUGAAAUCCCCGGGCUUAACCUGGGAACUGCGUUUGAAACUACAAGGCUAGAGUGUAGCAGAGGGGGGUGGAAUUCCACGUGUAGCAGUGAAAUGCGUAGAGAUGUGGAGGAAUACCGAUGGCGAAGGCAGCCCCCUGGGAUAACACUGACGCUCAUGUACGAAAGCGUGGGUAGCAAACAGG
rnacentral:rRNA from 1 species